rnacentral:lncRNA from 14 species
AUGGGGUGUCUGCCUGGCUGGAAGAUGACAGUGAGGGGUCCUAUAACCGGACCCUUCACACGUGCUCCUUCCCUGCAUAGCUGCUUCCAGAAUCUCCAGGCUUCAAUCCAUUGGCUAUUUCAAGAUAAGAAGCAGCCUUCCAAGAGAGAUGUGCUGAUUGCAGUGAGCCCUGAGAGCAUGCACAGAGUGCACCAAGAGCAAGAAAGUGGCUCCUGUGCCCACAUUCAUACCGUGUAAGAAGUAUAAGAGCUGGGAGCAGCAGAUAGAGAUGCCCACACUGGACCAGGUCCAUGUGUUUUCUUUGGCAGGGGUCUGGCUGCCUGCAUGAAACUCUGGUCCAGCUCUUUCUGCUCCUGAGGGUGAAAAACUCCUGAGGCUUUGCUGAUGGAGCGGUCAGAGCAAGGCCAAGCACAUCAGGCCACAUCCUGCCCUGCUGCAAUAAGUGAGAUCCAUGAGAAUAUUACUGUAUUGACAGAAUCAGCUGUUCCUUAGAAACAUACUAAACUUC